rnacentral:rRNA from 1 species
UACGUAGGUGGCAAGCGUUUGUCCGGAUUUAUUGGGUUUAAAGGGUGCGUAGGCGGCCCUGUAAGUCAGUGCUGAAAUACCCCGGCUUAACCGGGGGGUGGGCAUUGAUACUGCAGGGCUUGAGUACAGAUGAGGUAGGCGGAAUUGACGGUGUAGCGGUGAAAUGCAUAGAUAUCGUCAAGAACACCGAUAGCGAAGGCAGCUUACUGGGCUGUAACUGACGCUGAUGCACGAAAGUGUGGGGAUCAAACAGG